rnacentral:rRNA from 1 species
GUGAGGAAUUUUCCGCAAUGGGCGAAAGCCUGACGGAGCAAUGCCGCGUGAAGGAUGAAGGCCUAUGGGUUGUAAACUUCUUUUCUCAGAAAAGAAUUAUGACGGUAUCUGAGGAAUAAGCAUCGGCUAACUCUGUGCCAGCAGCCGCGGUAAGACAGAGGAUGCAAGCGUUAUCCGGAAUGAUUGGGCGUAAAGCGUCUGUAGGUUGUUUAAAAAGUAUUCUGUCAAAGAUUAGGGCUUAAACCUAGAUAGGCAGAAUAAACUUUUAAGCUAGAGUUUGGUAGAGGCAGAGGGAAUUCCCGGUGGAGCGGUGAAAUGCGUAGAUAUCGGGAGGAACACCAAAGGCGAAGGCACUCUGCUGGGCCAAUACUAACACUGAGAGACGAAAGCGAGGGGAGCAAAUGGGAUUAGAAACCCCGGUAGUCC